GAAGGCAUGCAUGCAUUCUCCCUCUUUAGAUGUAACCCCGCCCAACACAUCCAGCAUGUGGAAUACAUAUGAUUAUGCAGAAGCACCUCCCUCCCUGUACUGAUAGUUUCCUCCCUGGAUGUCGAAUUUACUCAUUCAAUCAAGAGUGAGUUCCUAAAAAGGGAAAAAUAAGAACCUGUCUCUGUCCUGGAGCCUGGCACAGUCCAGUGAGAUGAAAGAAAUAGAAAACAGCUUAUUAGUACACUAGGCAAUAAGCCUAUAGCAGGAAAAACUAGAAAAUUCCAGAUGAAAUCAGAGGAGAGAGUGAUGGACUCUGAAAUAUUGUGAGAAGAUUGGACUAAAGAGUUGACAUCUGAAAUCGGUUUUGAUACAUUACAGAAGUUAUUAGUCACUAAGAAGGAACCAUAAAGAAGAAACAUCAUGAAGAUUUCAGCAGCUCAGCUCCAGAUAUACUUUUCUUUCAGUUACUUGAAGCUUCCCAGAGAAAAACAUCCCUUAGGUAUUUGGUGGUAUUGUACAGACUGACCAUCAAUUAGGGGAUGAUAUAGAUUGAAUAUUUGUCCCCACCCAUAUCUCAUGUUGAAUUGUAAUCCCCAGUACUGGAGCUGGGGCCUGGUGGGAGGUGUUUGGAUCACAUGGGCAGAUCCCUCAUGGGUUGAUGCUGUUGUCCCAAUAGUGAGUUCUUGUGAGAUCUGGUCAUUCAAAAGUUUGUGGCAACUCCUCCCUGACUCUCUCUGUCUUGCUCCUGCUCUGCCAUGUGAGACAUCUGCACCUUCUUCACCUUCCACCAUGAUUGGAAGCUUCCUGAGACCUCCCCAGGAGCAGAUGCCACUAUGCUUCCUGUACAGCCUGCAGAACUGUGAGGCAAUUAAACUUCUUUUCUUAUAAAUUACCCAGUCUCAAGUAUUUCUCUAGAGCAGUGCAAGAAUGGCCAAAUAUAAGGGACAUUCUACAAAACAAUGAUUCUAUACUCAGCAAGAAGACUCAAUCCAAAGCUAGCCAUCUGGGCUGUGCCAACUUUAUUUCAAAAUCACCAGAGGUUGAAAUGUUGGCCAAGGGACUAAUCUGAAUUAUGUACCUGAAGCAGCACCUUAGCUGGGAGAUGUGAAAACUCAAUAAUAAACAAAUGGCAAACAAAACCAACUCUCUGGGGGAGGCUGCUUAGAUUAACUGAAUUCUGAACUGAAUGUUUAUUUAUUUCUACAACAGUACUAUGUGUUCAUAGAACAAAUAUUUAUGAGCCAUGGCACAUGUUUAGACCAAGAAUUGGGGUAAUAAAAACUGAAUUUCAAGUUGAAUGUAAAUACAACUAUGCACAAGUUUCUGAACUGAAUAAUAAACAUCCAUAUAGCUUUUAGGCACCAUAUGUGAUUUAUAGUAUUUAAAUAUCUAAAAUAUCUUUUCUCUGUUUAUAAGUGCUGAUAUUUUCUUCCUAGUCUCUUUUUCCCUUUCUUCUUUCACAAUAUUUGGCAUAUUGUGACAUGCUGGGAUUCCCCUGAAGGAGCAGCCAUACCUUUCCGAACAAACCCGGCCAUGCUGUGUUCAGUGAUAAGGGACAAAUUUCACCCAAGAGUUCACUUGGCCAAAGGACUAAUCUGAAUUAUGUACCUGAAGCAGCACCUUAGCUGGGAGAUAUGAAAACUCAAUAAUAAACAAAUGGCAAACAAAACCAACUCUCUGGCGGAGGCUGCGUAGAUUAACUGAAUUCUGAUCUGAAUGUUAAUGGAAGACAAUGGAAGACACAACAGGAAGAAGGCUUAUGAAGCUGGAACCAUGUUUGGGUACUCUUUGUAUCUCCUGCUGGGCUCAUGUUUCUUUGAGGACAAGAAUAAGGAGUGAUUUUUUUGGAGAGUCAUGUGCCCAGUAAAGAGUCUGGCUAAGCCAUUCAUUCUUUCCUCCCACAGCAUCCAUGGCUGGCAACUUCUAUUAUAAAAGUGAAUGAUCAAAUUUGAAUUGAAAAGCCACAAUCUGAAGGCAAAUCCAUCUUGGCUGGAAUUCCUUGAUUCUUGACUACGUAAAACAGCAUAUUGCUACUUACACCUUUUAAGUAAAUAAUAACAAAUUCUUCCCUCCAAACACAAGAAUUUGAUCCUAAUAUGGCAUGUGUUAAUCUGACCAACACUUUUUUUUUUUGCAAUAAAUCUAUCUUUAGAAGGCAGUGAAUUUCUUUACUAAGGUCCA
rnacentral:lncRNA from 10 species